GCAGUCUUGGCCGAGUGGUUAAGGCGACAGACUAGAAAUCUGUUGGGGUCUCCCCGCAUAGGUUCGAAUCCUGUAGACUGCG
rnacentral:tRNA from 1 species